CUGCGGAGCUGAACCCAACUCUGGCCGCCGUGACGUCACGCGCGCCCGGCAACCAAUGAGGGCAGCGCUGGCGUGGAUAUUAAGGAAAGUUAGCGCCUGCCGGAGCACCCUCUUUUCUUAUCGUUGACAUUUAAACUCUGGGGCAGGUCCUCGCGUAGAACCCGGCUGUCAGAUCUGCUACUUCCCCCCGAGAAGCGACUGUGAGAAGUGUGGGAACCAGCGCCACCAGGCUCACCUGCCACCCCGCCCUCGGCUCGCAGGGAUCUGAGAAUUGCUCUCACACACCAACCCAGCAGCGUCUGUGGAGAAAACUCUCACGAGCAACUCUUUUAAAAUACCGUCAUUUCAAACCGUUGUGGUCUUUAAGCAACAACAGGGGGGAAAAAAAACCCAAAACAA
rnacentral:lncRNA from 1 species